rnacentral:lncRNA from 1 species
CUCUGUUCACGGAAAGGGCCUGGGAGCUGCAACACCUCAACAGCAACAAGCACACCUGCUACCUAGAACUUGGUUUCUAAAAACCAUCCUCCUCUAAAAGGAAACAGAGCUCUUUGAAGAAACGCAGAAGGUAAGCAUGAGCAAAUUACUUUUUAGAGGUAACUUUGCUGAACUUGUGAAGAAUGGUGUGCAAGGUCCAGAGCGACUGCAGGAGAGGGAAGGUGGGAUUCCCACAGAGCAGGAGCACAGAUAAGCCAAGCAAGGCCCUGCUUGGAAGGCAGCAAUCAACAGAGAUGCACAGACCUGUGAGGGUGCCGGGACAGCCAUGCAACAAUGCAGCCCUUUUGCUUCCUGAGCUCACCAGUUCCCUCGCUCCACCUCUGAGAGGUGGUUUGGAGAAACACAGCCCUUCUCAAGAGGGCUGCAAGAGCAGACCACAAAGAGCAUGUCUGGACCUAGAACCACAGCAUGUAACCUCGGAAGCAGUGAGACACCAGCCAGCAUGGACAAGCAGCAGGCACUUGCUCUAUACCAGAUAGGUCCCACCUCCAGCCUUCCCCUGCUGCCAUCUAACAUCCUAAACUCCAGCUCUGAAUGUCUGUCUCCU